rnacentral:rRNA from 1 species
NUUUAUGGAGAGUUUGAUCCUGGCUCAGGACGAACGCUGGCGGCGUGCUUAACACAUGCAAGUCGAGCGAGGGC